AUUGAACGCUGGCGGCAUGCCUUACACAUGCAAGUCGAACGGCAGCACGGGUGCUUGCACCUGGUGGCGAGUGGCGAACGGGUGAGUAAUACAUCGGAACAUGUCCUGUAGUGGGGGAUAGCCCGGCGAAAGCCGGAUUAAUACCGCAUACGAUCCACGGAUGAAAGCGGGGGACCUUCGGGCCUCCCGCUAUAGGGUUGGCCGAUGGCUGAUUAGCUAGUUGGUGGGGUAAAGGCCUACCAAGGCGACGAUCAGUAGCUGGUCUGAGAGGACGACCAGCCACACUGGGACUGAGACACGGCCCAGACUCCUACGGGAGGCAGCAGUGGGGAAUUUUGGACAAUGGGCGAAAGCCUGAUCCAGCAAUGCCGCGUGUGUGAAGAAGGCCUUCGGGUUGUAAAGCACUUUUGUCCGGAAAGAAAUCCUUGACUCUAAUACAGUCGGGGGAUGACGGUACCGGAAGAAUAAGCACCGGCUAACUACGUG
rnacentral:rRNA from 1 species